AGCUCUGUAGCCUAGUGGACAGGGCAUUGCUAUCCUAAAGCGAAAACUCUGGCAGGUUUAAGUCCUACCAGGGUCG